rnacentral:rRNA from 1 species
AACGAACGCUGGCGGCAUGCCUAACACAUGCAAGUCGAACGAGACCUUCGGGUCUAGUGGCGCACGGGUGCGUAACGCGUGGGAAUCUGCCCUUGGGUUCGGAAUAACAGUUGGAAACGACUGCUAAUACCGGAUGAUGUCUUCGGACCAAAGAUUUAUCGCCCAAGGAUGAGCCCGCGUAGGAUUAGCUUGUUGGUGAGGUAAAGGCUCACCAAGGCGACGAUCCUUAGCUGGUCUGAGAGGAUGAUCAGCCACACUGGGACUGAGACACGGCCCAGACUCCUACGGAAGGCAGCAGUGGGGAAUAUUGGACAAUGGGCGAAAGCCUGAUCCAGCAAUGCCGCGUGAGUGAUGAAGGCCUUAGGGUUGUAAAGCUCUUUUGCCAGGGAUGAUAAUGACAGUACCUGGAGAAUAAGCUCCGGCUAACUCCGUGCCAGCCGCCGCGGUAACAC